rnacentral:rRNA from 1 species
AUGUUGAAGUCAUCACUGAAGGUACUGCAAAGGCUCACAGGCAUUGGCAAGGAAAUCGGCAUAACACUGCUGUACAAGAUAUCAAAACAUCCCUUUCUAUUGAGAAACCUUGCAGAAAUCUUGAAAGACAACAUAACCAGCCAGGAAUCGAGAAAGUUGGUGGCCGGAAUCCUGAGGAACAUUGCCAUUGAUGGGAACACAAGGCAGGACAUAGGUCACAUUCAACUGAUCAUCACCAGGCUGAAGCAGACAUUUCUCAAUGAAGAAAAUCCCAUGAUUGCCAAUGCUGAUCACUUGUCACAGAAGGCCGCGGGGCAAGCCCUGGCAAUGUUGACAACAGAAAGUGCCCAAAAUUGCUUGAUUGUGUUGCAGGAACCAGACUUCAUUAAGAAACUGAAACAUAUGAUCUUGAUCCAUGAUGGCAAGUACAUAUAUGUGGCAGCAAGUCUGUUACGUAAUCUGUGUCUGCACUCUCGACAUGAGCUCAGAGAGUUGGACUUGAAAGAGCUAUCUCAUAUAUUGCGAGAGGUGUUGGAGAAAAUAAUUGAUGUGGAAGGGGUAGAACUAGAGAUCAUCAUUGGCCUUAGUUCACUAAUUUGCAAAACCAUUCCUGAAGACUUUACCCAAGAACUAGAAGGCGGCCAGAUUAAGCGAAGAUUUGUGAAAAGGCUCGUCGAUGUGUUGAAUGCAAAUACAGAACCUAGUGCUAAUUGUCCUGGGAUCAGAAGGGUUAUACUUGAGCAAGUCAUUAACAUGAUGGAGUCCAAUUAUCGCUAUGCGGACUGUUUCAAUGAAUUCAGGAUGAGAGAAGCCCUCUUGGUCGUCGAACAAACACUGUCACACGCUGAGAACUACAAGUUCUUCUUGGGUGAUGCAGGUUUCAUGGAGUACAACACACCUAUCUCCGCUCUUGUGGUAAGAGCAAAAGAGCUUAUGUGUUGUAACUGA